GCGGGCGUGGCGGAAUGGUAGACGCAUGGGACUUAAACUCCCUGGGGCAGCUGCCCGUGCGGGUUCAAGUCCCGCCGCCCGCACCA
rnacentral:tRNA from 1 species